AGGGUGGUAGCCUUGACAAUAAUAGGGGAAGUUUGGGAGGUUAUUGAGCAGGGGGAGGGGGUCGGUAGGCUCAAACCUAUGAUUUAGGAAGCUUAAUUUGACAGUGAAAUGGAGGAUAGACUGGAGUAAAGAAUGACUUGUGGCAGGGGGACCAACCAGAAGGCUAUUGGAAUUGCCUGGGUGUGAUGUGGUAAGGGUCUGCACCAAGAUGGUGGAAGUGUAAACUCAAUUAACUUUUACAAUGAUAUAUUUACUAUAGAGAUAUAUAGCAAGAGCACAGGUUACAAACAUUUCCUCCUCACACUUGGGAUACACUCUCCCCCAUACCUCCAUGGGCCCUGGGGAGAGUGGGCUCAGACUUAAUGCAUUUUCUCUUUAACAUUCUCCUCUAUCAGCUCACUUCCAAAUAUGACAUUAUUGAUGGGUGCGUGAGUUUGCAUUUCUGCUGCUGCUGGAAUGGGUUAGACACAUAAUCAUGCCUUUCUGGAAGCAGGCUCUCAGACUUCUUCCACAUCAAACCUCCAUUUACAUACAGAGUCCUCCAGGUAAACACUCAGAAGUUAUUCAGUCUUCUUUUCAGUUGAAUGGAAUUAAAUUCAACAAACAUCAAUGAGUUGCCUACUGUGGACAUGGUGCUGAGGAAACAAAGAUAAAUGAUGGCAUAUCUUUUGCCCUGGAAGAGCUUACGUUCUACUGAGGAUGCAACAUGGAUUCAGAAAAGUGUAGUGCAAAGUAAGUAAUGUGUCAUGGGGGCAAAGGAGAGAUGCAGACAAGAUGCUCUAGGACUAUUUGCAAAGGGAGAGAGAGGACUUUCAUGGGAGGGAAGGUAGAUAGAGGGAAUUAAGUAAAGUGUCAUAGAAUCAUGAGGAUACAAAAAGGGGCAAAAGACCAUCCCUGCCCAGAAGGAGCAGGGGAGUGCUUCAUAGUUAGGGAGAAAACAAGCAAUUAGCUACAAACAAACUAUAUAAGAUAAAUAGGAAAUAAUUAAAAGCAGGAAAGCACAAGAAUUAAGAAAGACUUCCUGUAGAAAAUGAGAUUUUAGUUGGGACUUAAAGGAAACCUAGAAAGCCAACAGGCAGAGAUGAGGAAGAAGAUUAUUCCAGAUCUGUGGGACAGCCAGAG
rnacentral:lncRNA from 1 species